GGAAGUAAAAGUCGUAACGAGGUUUCCGUAGGUGAACCUGCGGAAGGAUCAUUCAUAAUAAAGUGUUUUAUGGCACUUUUUAAAAAUCCAUAUCCACCUUGUGUGCAAUGUUAGAUCUCGUCAAUCUUGGCGAGAUUUUUAUACAUCAACUCAUUCUUUAACUAAUUUGUCUGAAAAAUAUUAUGAAUACUUAAUUCAAAAUACAACUUUCAACAACGGAUCUCUUGGCUCUC
rnacentral:misc_RNA from 1 species